AGGUACGUUAAACCGCGAACACUUGCAAACGAUCGUACUAGCGAUGACUUUAAGCAACGAUUAAAGUCUUGCAUUGUGGUAAAAUUGAAACUUGCAUUAUGGAAACUUGAAAUGAAAUCUUGCAAUUUAAACUUUGUUUGAAGCGGUUCGAACGCAUCGCUAAUUGUAAAGCAUCAUGGACCAUGACUUAUUUAAUAGAGUUGAGGGUCGCAUUUUAACUACAGUAUUAAACUUGUAAAGAGCUCAAAUGUUGUCUAUUAAUUUCAAGACAAACUUCGUUUAAAAGGACUUCAAGGUCAGAGUUGUUUUCUGGAGAGAGUAAGAUUUGUAGAAUAUACGCCUUCAUGCGACAAUAAUCUAUUAUGUAUUUGAAAAUAGAACUUUUUAUGCGUUAACUCUUCGCGAAGUGUUUAAUUGCACUAUUCUAUGUAGAUAACUUAAGUCUGCGCGUCAAUUACAAGCAACAGAAUCAGAAAAAACGUACAGAAGAAACAGAAAUAUCCGUACUAUGCGCUAUGGCCUACAUUCUAAUGAAACGCCUGACUAAAUGGAAAAUUCGCAUUCCUCGGUGAAAUUUCCAUUUUGUUCGAGUUCCUGCAUUUCUCGAAUUCCUUCCAUACGAUCGUAAAAAUGAAAAAUAUAAGUUCGCUAUUUUCCAGGUGGCGUGCUUGUUGUAGUGCAGAGGAUAGUUCGAACGAAAACGAACCACGAUUGUUCUACCUGUAUUGCUCGUUCUUCCACCUCGUCAUGAAAGCCAGUAAAAACCGUACAGUGGGGAGCGGAAUAGCGAACUCGGCCGUUUCCCUAGGAAGGUAGGGGAACGGGAGGAGACGAGCCAUACGAAGAUCGUACGGAAUGGUUAUCCGUCACGCGUGUAUCACGUGCUCGUUCGACCGGCCGGCAUCUUUACCGUUUCUUGUCUGCUGAAUCCAUCGCUGAAUUUCUUGUGCGCUCAAACGAAAUUUUCAAAUCUGCCUUGUUUUUAUCGAAAUGCACGAAAAAGGUCGAACGAUUGAUAACGGUUGUUUAAAUAAAACUCUAUUCGAGGUAAUUUUUUAGUAUGUACAUAAUUUGAAAAAGCGUGCGCGUUCUAUUUCUAACGAACCUUGAGAUAACUAAAAUUCAAAUACAUAUUGCAAAUAUAGACAUCGUAGUAUAAUCAUAACCACCAGUACACCGAGGACUGACUCAUGGUUAACGAAUUCCUUUUCUGUAUCUGAGUUUAAAUCUAGUUUUUUUUUACAAUGCCAUUCUGUCGUUAAGGUUGUCACGUAGUCAAACUCGAAGAUGGUAUCCCGCUGGGGGUAACCAUCCACGUGUUAUUUAGCAAUUAAGUUAGAAAAAUUUUCCAAAUGUUUAGCUGGACAAAUUGUAAAGUACAAAUUAAAUAAACAAAAAAGAAGGUUGUCACCGGUCAGCUGAUCAUUAAUGAAAUAGAUAUAUACAUAUAAUUGA